UACGAAGGGGACUAGCGUUGUUCGGAAUCACUGGGCGUAAAGCGCACGUAGGCGGAUGUGUCAGUCAGGGGUGAAAUCCCGGGGCUCAACCUCGGAACUGCCUUUGAUACAGCACGUCUCGAGUCCGGAAGAGGUGGGUGGAAUUCCUAGUGUAGAGGUGAAAUUCGUAGAUAUUAGGAAGAACACCGGUGGCGAAGGCGGCCCACUGGUCCGGUACUGACGCUGAGGAGCGAAAGCGUGGGGAGCAAACAGG
rnacentral:rRNA from 1 species